UACGUAGGGGGCAAGCGUUGUCCGGAAUUAUUGGGCGUAAAGCGCGCGCAGGCGGCGCUUUAAGUUGGAGGUUAAAGGCAAUGGCUCAACCAUUGUUCGCCUCCAAAACUGGAGCGCUUGAGUGCAGCAGAGGAAAGUGGAAUUCCCGGUGUAGCGGUGGAAUGCGUAGAGAUCGGGAGGAACACCAGUGGCGAAGGCGACUUUCUGGGCUGUAACUGACGCUGAGGCGCGAAAGCGUGGGGAGCAAACAGG
rnacentral:rRNA from 1 species